GAGUGACCCGAUUUUCCAAGUGCGUCCGUCACCCCUUUCUUUUACUCAGAAAGGGAACUCCCUGACCCCUUGCGCUUCCCAAGUGAGGCAAUGCCUCACCCUGCUUCGGCUCGCGCACGGUGCGCGCACCCACUGACCUGCGCCCACUGUCUGGCACUCCGUAGUGAGAUGAACCCGCUACCUCAGAUGGAAAUGCAGAAAUCACCUGUCUUCUGCCUCGCUCACGCUGGGAGCUGUAGACGGAAGCUGUUCCUAUUCGGCCAUCUUGGCUCCUUCCCCGGGGAAACACAUAUAAUGUUUUAAAAGUAUUCUGAUCUCUGGAUUCUUAACUUGGAGGCCAUGGAUAGGCUUAAAACUCAUCCAAAAUGUUUUGUGUGCUUUUGUUUUUUUGUAGAGGAAGUUUCCAAAACUUUCUUCUAAUUCUCAAAGAGAUAGUAGAACAAUUAAUCUAAUCUCAAUCUCUAAAUUCACCUGUGAGAAAAAUGAGACCUGGAUCUGUUGCUAGAUCUAUGAACAGACCAACUAUGAGACCUUGGCCAGCACUCAGCCUUCUGCUGGGAGGAAGGGUCAGUGCUGCCUAGAGAAAAGAGCACUAGACUCAGAGAAAGCAAGGACAAAGCACAGAGCUUGUGGGAGAAACCAUCACGGACUCAGACUUCUCCUGGCACUCAGGUGUCUGCUUUGCUUUCUCUUCACUCCUCCUUGUUGUAUUACCCCAUCUCCCACUGCAGAAAUUUACUUUACUUUUUGAUAUACAAGAUACUGAGACUGCAUCUGUCAAAUUUUCACUGCCAAAAUUAUUUUGCAAAACUCUACUCAGUUUUAUAUACUCGUGUGGUUGUUUCUCUUUGUUUUUCACUAACAUUGAAAGCAAAUCUACAGGAAAUACUUUUUUUUGCUUGGAAGAGGAAUAGAGAUUAUAAUCUAAUUUGGUGGAAAGACUGCUGCCUGUAUCCAACUCUACAUACAUUUGAGUCCAGUGCUAUGCAAAUAUGAUAACGAAAACUCAGAGAGGCUUGUUGAUAUGCUGUAUUUCAAUGGGCAGACAUGAAGACCAUGACAUCAUUGAGAAAGACCACCAGCUGCCCAAGACAAACUUCUAAACAGUCUACAUUUAAGCUUAUGUUGCUUUUUCCAUGAACCCCAAAGUACAUCUUCAAACUCAUCAUAGGUGGCUGAAUUCUAGCAUCUAUUACAAAGAUCUAAUACAAGGAUCACUGGUCCAGUCAAUAGUGACUGGGGAGGUUAGGGUGAAGACACAAAGCAUGAAGGUCCAGGUGCAAGUUUAUGCUCAUGACUACUCUGGCAAACUGAUUCUUGGAACAAUAUCAUUUAGACAUUCAUGAACUAGCUAUACAAAAGCAAUACAAAGCGACAAUUCUUAUUUCAUGGUAUUAAAAAAAGUUGUUUUUUCUAUUGAACUUCCCAUGAAUUUUUAUCUAAAAUAACAUGUUGUCGUAGAUUCCUUGUUUACUUUAUCCCUGAUACUAUUUCUGGCUUAUUUGGAAUUUCCCAAAUCUGCCUUUAGAUCACAAUUUAUACUCCACAGCUCAACCCCUUGAGCUAUCUGGAUCUACCCAUAUAAACUAGAAACCUAAUUCUAAGUUUUUUGAAGAUGACACAAUUCUAAUAUGUGAUAUCAUAUCAUAAGCCCUACUAAGAUAGCCUAAAUUAUUUUAUAGUUGCUGAGAAACGAAGGUACUAAGUUUAAAUUCUGUAAGUCUAUGAACAGCUAUUUUUCUGGACCAGUACCUAAUUUUGUCGAACAUAAAAAAAGUUGUCUGGUUUCUUUCAAGACAAUUUAGAUUUUCUAAUUUCUGUGAGAACUACAGCCAAAACUUCCAAAAUGAGAGAUUCUUUGAAUUCAGCUGUCCAUUAAAGUGUUGUCCAAUGCCUGCUUUUGCUGUCAAUUUGUUAUACUUAAACACUGUGUGAAGAAUUAAAUUAGAAUAAGCGUAAUUCACUUUGAUCUCAGUUAUGACAUUCCUUACUUUCUGUGUAAUACACAACCUGUCUUAUGAGUUGCAAACUAUAUUAACCUUGAAUAUAUCAACAUUUUAGCCUAAUGUGCCCUUCCAAUAUUUUCUGAUCUGAUAUGUGCCACCAAUCAAUACAUUUCAGACACUUUUUCAUACUCCACAAAGCUGUUAACAUGUUAAUCUAUUCAGUCUAUUCUUGUCCUUCACAUGUCCUGACAUUUUUAACUACUUAAAAUAGAGGCAUUUUCAUCUUAAAGUCUUUAUACAAGAUUUUAUUUCCAAUACAUCUCUUAUACCUUGCCAACAUUCUUAAGUAUUCAAAAAUGAGUUUUUUCUUUCUCGUUUAUGAGCAUGCCAGAG
rnacentral:lncRNA from 1 species